GGAAUAUUGGUCAAUGGGCGAGAGCCUGAACCAGCCAAGUCGCGUGAAGGAUGAAGGUUCUAUGGAUUGUAAACUUCUUUUGUCCGAGGGUAAAGGAGGCUACGUGUAGCUUUUUGCAAGUAUCGGACGAAUAAGCAUCGGCUAACUCCGUGCCAGCAGCCGCGGUAAUACGGAGGAUGCGAGCGUUAUCCGGAUUUAUUGGGUUUAAAGGGUGCGCAGGCGGGUUUUUAAGUCUGUGGUGAAAGCGUGCGGCUCAACCGUACCAAGCCAUGGAAACUGGAGAUCUUGAGUGCAAACGAGGUAGGCGGAAUGUGAUGUGUAGCGGUGAAAUGCUUAGAUAUGUCACAGAACCCCGAUUGCGAAGGCAGCUUACCAGCAUGCAACUGACGCUCAGGCACGAAAGCGUGGGUAUCAAACA
rnacentral:rRNA from 1 species